AAGUUACCUUCCCUGAAAAUUAUGAAAUAAAUACAUGAUCAGAAUGACAAGAUAAGUGCCAACAAAUAUCUUGAAAAUAUCAAUUUCUUCUACAGGUGUCCAUCAGUCACUUCAGUCAGUUAUUGCAUAAUUUUUAGACCCACCAAAUUUGUAAACUUAUUAGCAAACUAAACCAAAUAUCAUCGACAACCAAAAAACAUUGAACCAACAAAUUUGUUUGGUUAUAUCAG
rnacentral:misc_RNA from 1 species